CCUACGGGUGGCAGCAGUGAGGAAUAUUGGUCAAUGGGCGCUAGCCUGAACCAGCCAAGUAGCGUGAAGGAUGCCUGCCCUAUGGGUUGUAAACUUCUUUUAUAUGGGAAUAAAGUGCAGUAUGUAUACUGCUUUGCAUGUACCUUAUGAAUAAGGAUCGGCUAACUCAGUGCCAGCAGCGCCGGUACUACGGAGGAUUCGAGCGUUAUCCGGCUUUGUUGGGCUUAACGUGAGCGUAGGCGGGUUGUUAAGUCAGUUGGGAAAGGUUUCGGCGCAACUGUAAAAUUGCAGUUGAUACUGGCAUCCUUGAGUAUAGUAGAGGUAGGCGGAAUUCGUGGUGUAGCGGUGAAAUGCUUAGAUAUCAGGAAGAACUCCGAUGGCGAAGGCAGCCUGCUGGACUGUAACUGACGCUGAUGCUCGAAAGUGUGGGUAUCAAACAGGAUUAGAUACCCCUGUAGUC
rnacentral:rRNA from 1 species